AGAUAGAACAGACAAAAUACCUAUGAAUUCCAUCAAAACUAUAGUUUGUGAACCUUUAGAUGGUCAUGAAGAAUAUCACAUGAUGGGUAUCCAGUUAGGACCUACAGAGGCAUCCCGGUAUUGGGUGUAUUGGGUGCCAGCACAGUUUGUGGAAGCCAUCAAAGAUGCAGUGUUGGGGAAGUGGCAGUACUUUUAGCAUAGAAGAUAAGGCAUGUCUCACCACAAACUUGCAUCAGAUGUGCUUGGUCAUCAUGCAUAGCAUGGUGUGUGUUACUUGAACACUAUCAACUAUUUCUGGCAAUCUGUGUUAUCUGAAUUUUUGAUGAAGGAUAUGUUUCUGCUAAUAAAAGCCUAUGUAUACA